rnacentral:rRNA from 1 species
UAGAGGAAGUAAAAGUCGUAACAAGGUUUCCGUAGGUGAACCUGCGGAAGGAUCAUUAACGUAUCUCUGGCGGCGGACGGCGAUCCCUGCUCCGGUCCGAACGGGCCGUGCAGCGGGAUCCCGUCCCCGUCCAACCUUUGCAAACCCCCCUGUGCACAUUCACGGCGGACGGCCGAGGGGGCGAGAGCUCCUUUGGUCCGAAGCCGCAUCACUAAACCCCAAGUAUUUAAACGAAUGCUCUGCGACCCUGUGUCGCCUAACAAUUGAACAACUUUCAACAACGGAUCUCUUGGCUCUCGCAUCGAUGAAGAACGCAGCGAAAUGCGAUAAGUAAUGUGAAUUGCAGAAUUCAGUGAAUCAUCGAAUCUUUGAACGCACCUUGCGCUCCUUGGUAUUCCGAGGAGCAUGCCUGUUUGAGUGUCUUGAAGUCAUCAACCUCUCCCGUUUUUGUGCGGGUGUCGGUUGGAUAUGGGGGCAUGCUGCCGUGAGGUGGCUCCCCUCAAAUGCUUCGGUUGGACCUGUGGGUCGAACUCGACUGGGCGUUGUACCAUCCUCGCUCUCCUGAGAUGUUCUCCACUUACCGAGUCCUCCCUAGACCUGCCCGUGGGGUGGCGGUCAACAAAGCUCGACUUUGAAAUUCUGACCUCAAAUCAGGUAGGACUACCCGCUGAACUUAAGCAUAUCAAUA